CAGUAGCCGCGGUAAUACGAAGGGGGCUAGCGUUGUUCGGAAUUACUGGGCGUAAAGCGCACGUAGGCGGAUAUUUAAGUCAGGGGUGAAAUCCCGCAGCUCAACUGCGGAACUGCCUUUGAUACUGGGUAUCUUGAGUAUGGAAGAGGUUAGUGGAAUUGCGAGUGUAGAGGUGGAAUUCGUAGAUAUUCGCAGGAACACCAGUGGCGAAGGCGGCUAACUGGUCCAUAACUGACGCUGAGGUGCGAAAGCGUGGGGAGCAAACAGGAUUAGAUACCCCUGUAGUCCCUGUCUCUUAUAC
rnacentral:rRNA from 1 species